rnacentral:tRNA from 1 species
GUUACUUUAGUUUAAUAAAGAAUUUAUAACUUGUAAUUAUAAGGUAAAGGUAACU